UACAGAGGGGGCAAGCGUUGUUCGGAAUUACUGGGCGUAAAGGGCGCGUAGGCGGCCUGUUAAGUCGAACGUGAAAUCCCCGGGCUCAACCCGGGAACUGCGUCCGAUACUGGCAGGCUUGAAUUCGGGAGAGGGAUGCGGAAUUCCAGGUGUAGCGGUGAAAUGCGUAGAUAAUCUGGAGGAACACCGGUGGCGAAGGCGGCAUCCUGGACCGAGAUUGACGCUGAGGCGCGAAAGCCAGGGAGCAAACGGG
rnacentral:rRNA from 1 species